CAGUCGCCGCGGUAAUACGUAGGUGGCAAGCGUUGUCCGGAUUUAUUGGGCGUAAAGCGAGCGCAGGCGGUUUCUUAAGUCUGAUGUGAAAGCCCCCGGCUCAACCGGGGAGGGUCAUUGGAAACUGGGAAACUUGAGUGCAGAAGAGGAGAGUGGAAUUCCAUGUGUAGCGGUGAAAUGCGUAGAUAUAUGGAGGAACACCAGUGGCGAAGGCGGCUCUCUGGUCUGUAACUGACGCUGAGGCUCGAAAGCGUGGGGAGCAAACAGGAUUAGAUACCCCGGUAGUCCCUGUCUCUUAUAC
rnacentral:rRNA from 1 species